rnacentral:tRNA from 1 species
GGGAGCAUAGCUCAGCUGGGAGAGCGCUUGCCUUACAAGCAAGAUGUCAUAGGUUCGAGCCCUAUUGUUCCCACCA